UAAGGAUCUGGAAUCCGAGCAGGAACCUAACUAGUACUUUGCUGGAUGUUCCCUACCAUUGAAUGAUUGGGAGCAUACAGAAUUGUUUAACAUUUACACGGUACUUUUCUCAAUAGGUAAAUCCAGAUUUCGCUUCAUUGGAUUCCCUUCAGCAUACAAGUCAUUUGACUACGGCCAUGCUGGGGCACCGCCUUGAUACGUAGACCAAUUUUGAGCUAAUUUUAAGAAACAGGGAAAUGCAUAUUUGUCACAUACCUGGCUAAUUCUCGUAGGAAAGUUUUGAAAUGCGGACAUUCGGAAUCUGCCAAAUGCACUCACAAGGCUUUGAUCGACCCGAGGCCACAGUAAAAGACAUUUGCUUAAGGUGCUAUGCUGAGGGACUGAACCCUGAACCAUGUGGCUGAGAAGCAGGCUUCUUACCACGCAACCACGCCUGUGCCAUACGUUAUCUUCAUAAAGUUGAAAUGCAAAGUUAACCUCGACAGGAUUUAAACUCAAAACGAAAAUGUCCGGAAUUAAUAUCGUCUUUUGCUCCCUCACUUCGUCAGUUCUAUCACUUUCCUAAUAAACGUUGUAUGAUAUUUA
rnacentral:lncRNA from 1 species